rnacentral:lncRNA from 1 species
GUGAUAUCAUCAACACUCUCAACAAAUACAUAACCUAUAAAUAAAGUAAUUUAAAAAACAAAAAAAUAUAAGAAUCAUGAUAAAUUACAAUAAAACACACAGAAAUUAAAAUAAAUUUAAAACAUAUAAAUAUAACCUUUUUCCAUUUUUACUCUAGCAAAUUGAAGAAUAACAACAGGUAACCCCUCACAGCAAUUGGUAAAAAGAUUCUGAAAUUCAAGAACACAAGCACCACGGAGUUCACAAUCAAACAUACCCCUGUGAAAAAUCCAAAUGAAGAUUAAAAGAAUAUAUAAUUUUUUUAAAAAAAAUCACUACAAUAUUUAUUUUUUGGUUACAAAAUCACUACAAUAUUAAAACACCACAAAUCAUCGUAUAUACCUACGAUCACUUAGUUGUAGUUUGACAACAGUUUGCAUAUUUCCAGUUAAAUCCAUAGUAAGUUCAUAGUGUAAUGCAGUCAAUAAACCAACAACAUCUAAAAUACAA